GGUGGUUCUCGGGUGACACACCCCAGAACUGGGCUCCCUCCUCUCUGGUUCCAGGUGCAUCACCCGAGAACUGCA
rfam:Myotis davidii contig128308, whole genome shotgun sequence.